rnacentral:rRNA from 1 species
GACGAACGCUGGCGGCGUGCUUAACACAUGCAAGUCGAACGGAAAGGCCCUGCUUUUGUGGGGUGCUCGAGUGGCGAACGGGUGAGUAACACGUGAGUAACCUUCCCUUGACUUUGGGAUAACUUCAGGAAACUGGGGCUAAUACCGGUUAGGAGCUCCUGCUGCAUGGUGGGGGUUGGAAAGUUUCGGCGGUUGGGGAUGGACUCGCGGCUUAUCAGCUUGUUGGUGGGGUAGUGGCUUACCAAGGCUUUGCCGGGUCGCCGGCCUGAGAGGGUGACCGGCCACAUUGGGACUGAGAUACGGCCCAGACUCCUACGGGAGGCAGCAGUGGGGAAUAUUGCACAAUGGGCGGAAGCCUGAUGCAGCAACGCCGCGUGCGGGAUGACGGCCUUCGGGUUGUAAACCGCUUUCGCCUGUGACGAAGCGUGAGUGACGGUAAUGGGUAAAGAAGCACCGGCUAACUACGUG